rnacentral:rRNA from 1 species
CCUACGGGAGGCAGCAGUGGGGAAUUUUUCGCAAUGGGGGCAACCCUGACGAAGCAAUGCCGCGUGGAUGAUGAAGUAUUUCGGUACGUAAAAUCCUUUCGACGGGGACGAAGCCGCAAGGUUGACGGUACCCGUAGAAGAAGCCCCGGCUAACUCCGUGCCAGCAGCCGCGGUAAUACGAAGGGUGCAAGCGUUACUCGGAAUUACUGGGCGUAAAGCGUGCGUAGGUGGUUUGUUAAGUCUGAUGUGAAAGCCCUGGGCUCAACCUGGGAAUGGCAUUGGAAACUGGCUUACUAGAGUGCGGUAGAGGGUAGUGGAAUUCCCGGUGUAGCAGUGAAAUGCGUAGAUAUCGGGAGGAACAUCUGUGGCGAAGGCGACUACCUGGACCAGCACUGACACUGAGGCACGAAAGCGUGGGGAGCAAACAGGAUUAGAUACCCUGGUAGUCCACGCCCUAAACGAUGCGAACUGGAUGUUGGGAGCAACUUGGCUCUCAGUAUCGAAGCUAACGCGUUAAGUUCGCCGCCUGGGAAGUACGGUCGCAAGACUGAAACUCAAAGGAAUUGACGG